AAAGCGCCGGCGAGGUGAUAUGAACCCUUGACCCGGCGAUGUCCGAAUGGGGAAACCCAGUGCAAUCCGUUGCACUAUCGUUAACUGAAUACAUAGGUUAACGAGGCGAACCGGGGGAACUGAAACAUCUAAGUACCCCGAGGAAAAGAAAUCAACCGAGAUUCCCCCAGUAGCGGCGAGCGAACGGGGAGCAGCCCGGAGUCUGAAUCAGCUUGUGUGUUAGUGGAACGGUCUGGAAAGUCCGACGGUACAGGGUGAUAGUCCCGUACACGAAAGCACACAUGCUGUGAACUCGAAGAGUAGGGCGGGACACGUGGUAUCCUGUCUGAAUAUGGGGGGACCAUCCUCCAAGGCUAAAUACUCCUGACUGACCGAUAGUGAACCAGUACCGUGAGGGAAAGGCGAAAAGAACCCCGGCGAGGGGAGUGAAAAAGAACCUGAAACCGUGUACGUACAAGCAGUGGGAGCCUCUUUAUGGGGUGACUGCGUACCUUUUGUAUAAUGGGUCAGCGACUUAUAUUCUGUAGCAAGGUUAACCGUAUAGGGGAGCCGAAGGGAAACCGAGUCUUAACUGGGCGUUAAGUUGCAGGGUAUAGACCCGAAACCCGGUGAUCUAGCCAUGGGCAGGUUGAAGGUUGGGUAACACUAACUGGAGGACCGAACCGACUAAUGUUGAAAAAUUAGCGGAUGACCUGUGGCUGGGGGUGAAAGGCCAAUCAAACCGGGAGAUAGCUGGUUCUCCCCGAAAGCUAUUUAGGUAGCGCCUCGUGAACUCAUCUUCGGGGGUAGAGCACUGUUUCGGCUAGGGGGCCAUCCCGGCUUACCAACCCGAUGCAAACUACGAAUACCGAAGAAUGUUAUCACGGGAGACACACGGCGGGUGCUAACGUCCGUCGUGAAGAGGGAAACAACCCAGACCGCCAGCUAAGGUCCCAAAGUCAUGGUUAAGUGGGAAACGAUGUGGGAAGGCACAGACAGCCAGGAUGUUGGCUUAGAAGCAGCCAUCAUUUAAAGAAAGCGUAAUAGCUCACUGGUCGAGUCGGCCUGCGCGGAAGAUGUAACGGGGCUAAACCAUGCACCGAAGCUGCGGCAGCGACACUAUGUGUUGUUGGGUAGGGGAGCGUUCUGUAAGCCGUUGAAGGUGUGCUGUGAGGCAUGCUGGAGGUAUCAGAAGUGCGAAUGCUGACAUAAGUAACGAUAAAGCGGGUGAAAAGCCCGCUCGCCGGAAGACCAAGGGUUCCUGUCCAACGUUAAUCGGGGCAGGGUGAGUCGACCCCUAAGGCGAGGCCGAAAGGCGUAGUCGAUGGGAAACAGGUUAAUAUUCCUGUACUUGGUGUUACUGCGAAGGGGGGACGGAGAAGGCUAUGUCAGCCGGGCGACGGUUGUCCCGGUUUAAGCAUGUAGGCGGAGGUUCCAGGUAAAUCCGGUACCUUAUUAACGCUGAGGUGUGAUGACGAGGCACUACGGUGCUGAAGUGAUAAAUGCCCUGCUUCCAGGAAAAGCCUCUAAGCAUCAGGUAACACGAAAUCGUACCCCAAACCGACACAGGUGGUCAGGUAGAGAAUACCAAGGCGCUUGAGAGAACUCGGGUGAAGGAACUAGGCAAAAUGGUGCCGUAACUUCGGGAGAAGGCACGCUGAUAUGUAGGUGAAGCCCCUGCGGGUGGAGCUGAAAUCAGUCGAAGAUACCAGCUGGCUGCAACUGUUUAUUAAAAACACAGCACUGUGCAAACACGAAAGUGGACGUAUACGGUGUGACGCCUGCCCGGUGCCGGAAGGUUAAUUGAUGGGGUUAGCGGCAACGCGAAGCUCUUGAUCGAAGCCCCGGUAAACGGCGGCCGUAACUAUAACGGUCCUAAGGUAGCGAAAUUCCUUGUCGGGUAAGUUCCGACCUGCACGAAUGGCGUAAUGAUGGCCAGGCUGUCUCCACCCGAGACUCAGUGAAAUUGAACUCGCUGUGAAGAUGCAGUGUACCCGCGGCAAGACGGAAAGACCCCGUGAACCUUUACUAUAGCUUGACACUGAACACUGGUCCUUGAUGUGUAGGAUAGGUGGGAGGCUUUGAAGCGUGGACGCCAGUCUGCGUGGAGCCGCCCUUGAAAUACCACCCUUUAAUGGCUGGUGUUCUAACGUAGACCCGUAAUCCGGGUUGCGGACAGUGUCUGGUGGGUAGUUUGACUGGGGCGGUCUCCUCCCAAAGAGUAACGGAGGAGCACGAAGGUUGGCUAAUCCUGGUCGGACAUCAGGAGGUUAGUGCAAUGGCAUAAGCCAGCUUGACUGCGAGCGUGACGGCGCGAGCAGGUGCGAAAGCAGGUCAUAGUGAUCCGGUGGUUCUGAAUGGAAGGGCCAUCGCUCAACGGAUAAAAGGUACUCCGGGGAUAACAGGCUGAUACCGCCCAAGAGUUCAUAUCGACGGCGGUGUUUGGCACCUCGAUGUCGGCUCAUCACAUCCUGGGGCUGAAGUAGGUCCCAAGGGUAUGGCUGUUCGCCAUUUAAAGUGGUACGCGAGCUGGGUUUAGAACGUCGUGAGACAGUUCGGUCCCUAUCUGCCGUGGGCGCUGGAGAAUUGAGGGGGGCUGCUCCUAGUACGAGAGGACCGGAGUGGACGCAUCACUGGUGUUCGGGUUGUCAUGCCAAUGGCACUGCCCGGUAGCUAAAUGCGGAAGAGAUAAGUGCUGAAAGCAUCUAAGCACGAAACUUGCCCCGAGAUGAGUUCUCCCUGAGACUUUAAGUCUCCUGAAGGAACGUUGAAGACGACGACGUUGAUAGGUCGGGUGUGUAAGCGCAGCGAUGCGUUGAGCUAACCGAUACUAAUGAACCGUGAGGCUUAACCUU
rnacentral:rRNA from 1 species